rnacentral:rRNA from 1 species
GAUGAACGCUGGCGGCGUGCCUAAUACAUGCAAGUCGAGCGAAUGGAUUAAGAGCUUGCUCUUAUGAAGUUAGCGGCGGACGGGUGAGUAACACGUGGGUAACCUGCCCAUAAGACUAGGAUAACUCCGGGAAACCGGGGCUAAUACCGGAUAAUAUUUUGAACUGCAUGGUUCAAAAUUGAAAGGCGGCUUCGGCUGGCACUUAUGGAUGGACCCGCGUCGCAUUAGCUAGUUGGUGAGGUAACGGCUCACCAAGGCAACGAUGCGUAGCCGACCUGAGAGGGUGAUCGGCCUCACUGGGACUGAGACACGGCCCAGACUCCUACGGGAGGCAGCAGUAGGGAAUCUUCCGCAAUGGACGAAAGUCUGACGGAGCAACGCCGCGUGAGUGAUGAAGGCUUUCGGGUCGUAAAACUCUGUUGUUAGGGGAGAACAAGUGCUAGUUGAAUAAGCUGGCACCUUGACGGUACCUAACCAGAAAGCCACGGCUAACUACGUGCCAGCCGCCGCAGUAA